rnacentral:rRNA from 1 species
AUACGUAGGGGGCGAGCGUUGUCCGGAAUGAUUGGGCGUAAAGGGCGCGUAGGCGGCCCGGUAAGUCUGGAGUGAAAGUCCUGUUUUUAAGAUGGGAAUUGCUUUGGAUACUGUCGGGCUUGAGUGCAGGAGAGGUAAGUGGAAUUCCCAGUGUAGCGGUGAAAUGCGUAGAGAUUGGGAGGAACACCAGUGGCGAAGGCGACUUACUGGACUGUAACUGACGCUGAGGCGCGAAAGUGUGGGGAGCCAACAGGAUUAGAUACCCUGGUAGUCCACACUGUAAACGAUGAAUGCUAGGUGUAGGGGGUAUCGACCCCUUCUGUGCCGCAGUCAACACAAUAAGCAUUCCGCCUGGGGAGUACGGCCGCAAGGUUGAAACUCAAAUGAAUUGGCGGGG